rnacentral:rRNA from 1 species
AAAAACAUCAUCACAGCCGACGAUCUUUUUGCCCAGAUUGCUGCCUUUGAUCAAAGGAUGGAGAUGCUAGGCGACUCAUCUUCAGGCGGGUUCCAUUCAUCCGCUAAUGCGGUCUACAGAGGCCGUGGCCAGUCCCGUGACAGAUCUCGCGGGCGUGGAGGAAGAGGCCGUGGCCGUGGUGAUCGUGGUGACCGCGAUGACCGACAGUCGUCUUCCUCCAAUGGAGGCGGCGGAUUCAGAGGCCGUCCUCGACAGCAACAACAACAGCAGGUUCGUGAGCAACAACAUGACUAUCCAGAAUGUCAGAUAUGCUACAGACACCAUCCAGGAGGUGCACGAGUUUGCUGGUGGCGUUAUGAAGAAAACGACCAGGAAGAAAAGGAGGCGCAUGCAGUCUCCUAUGGCGUGGACACCAACUGGUACGCCGACAGUGCAGCAACAAACCACAUCACAGGUGAACUUGACAAGUUGACGAUGCAGGAGAAGUACAAUGGAGGCGACCAAAUUCGGACGGCAAGCGGUUCUGGUAUGGAUAUCACACACAUUGGCAGU